CACGAACCCGACAAACGUUAUUCGGAAUUAUUGGGCUUAAAGGGUGCGUAGGCGGUGCGGUAAGUGCGGUGUGAAAUCCCACGGCUCAACCGUGGAAUUGCGCUGCAUACUGCCGUGCUGGAGGAAGACAGGGGUAAGCGGAACUGAUGGUGGAGCGGUGAAAUGCAUUGAUAUCAUCAGGAACACCGGUGGCGAAAGCGGCUUACUGGGUCUUUUCUGACGAUGAGGCACGGAAGCUAGGGUAGCGAACGGG
rnacentral:rRNA from 1 species